rnacentral:rRNA from 1 species
AUUGAACGCUGGCGGCAGGCCUAACACAUGCAAGUCGAACGGUAACAGGAAGCAGCUUGCUGCUUUGCUGACGAGUGGCGGACGGGUGAGUCAUGUCUGGGAAACUGCCUGAUGGAGGGGGAUAACUACUGGAAACGGUAGCUAAUACCGCAUAAUGUCGCAAGACCAAAGAGGGGGACCUUCGGGCCUCUUGCCUUCGGAUGUGCCCUGAUGGGAUUAGCUAGUAGGUGGGGUAAAGGCUCACCUAGGCGACGAUCCCUAGCUGGUCUGAGAGGAUGACCAGCCACACUGGAACUGAGACACGGUCCAGACUCCUACGGGAGGCAGCAGUGGGGAAUAUUGCACAAUGGGCGCAAGCCUGAUGCAGCCAUGCCGCGUGUAUGAAGAAGGCCUUCGGGUUGUAAAGUACUUUCAGCGGGGAGGAAGGGAGUAAAGUUAAUACCUUGACUCAUUGACGUUACCCGCAGAAGAAGCACCGGCUAACUCCGUG